ensembl:lncRNA
GCCUCUUUUGGCAUAGUUCUGUAUAAGCACUUAAGUUAUGCCUAAGAAUGUUUUUUUUUUCUCUUUGUAACAAUUUCCCUGGCUUCUUUGUUACCCAGAAUGGUUGAAAAAUAUAUUAUGCUAAACUGAUUAACCUAAAUGUUUUAAUAUUUUAUUCUUUUUUUUUUUUUUUUUUUUAAUGGUCACACCUGCGACAUAUGGAAGUUCCCAGGCUAGGGUCGAAUUGGAGCUACAGCUGCUGGCCUACACCACAGCCACAGCAACACCAGAUCCCAGCGGCAUCUGCAACCUACACCACAGCUCACAGCCAUGAUAGAUCCUUAACCCACUGAGUGAGGCCAAGGAUUGAACCUUUGUCCUCAGAAUACUAGUCAGGUUUGGGACCCCUGAGCCAUGAUGGAACUCUUGUUCUUUAGCUUUACUCUUAGGUAUAUUUAUCUAAUACUAUGCUUUAACUACAGGCACUCUAAUUCUACUUGUGUAAGCUUUGACAGUUGAGGAAUGUAUGAGACCAGAGUUAAUUGCUUGAAUCCAUGCUUUGUGAGUCUAGUAUAAUCAAACUAGUGAUUCAUUGGUCUACUUUUUUUUGCUAAUGCUACAUACCUCAGUCCUUUCUUUUCCGUUGAAGGAUAAUGUUCCAAGCCUGACAGUGUCCCAAAUGUCCACAUAGUCCACAAACUAAUGGCCAGGAAACAUAAGUGCCUUAUGGAAACAGCGAAGCUGAAACCAGGCCAUUUGUUUGAAUAUAUUAGAGUCCAUAAAAAGCUUACUCACAGUUUAAACACUGAACUUUCUCCUUAUUUCCAUCUCUUGGAUUGUCAUUGUUUGCUCAGUUAUAAAGUGGCUUGUUGACACCAAAUAUUUUAAUAAUUUGCUUCCAAGGCUUUGUGCCUAUGCCUUUGAGAGGCUGGUGUAGUAAUUAAACUGUCUUUUAGCUGAAAUGCUUGCAAAGCGUCCAGUUCUGUGCCUGGCAGCUGGUGAUGCAUUAUAGAGACAUUGAGCUAAUCGAUUAAAACCGCAGAGGCAUGGGAGUUGUCUGACAGCACUGUACUAGGAUGAAAUUAGUUGGAAUUGCAUGGUGAAUGUGACUGAAAUAACAUGAAAUUUUUCGGCUGCUAGAGAAUGUGAAAUUGGACUAAUUGUCUUUUAACUAGUCUGCUCGACUGCUAGCCUGGAGCAAGGCUGAAAAGGGGAUAGGCUGGUGGGGCUGCAGCUGGGUGAUGGGAAACUCAGAUUCAUGACUCCUUAUUUCAGCCCAUCUGAGUGGAUAACAGCAUCACAUAUUCAGAGAGCUCUGAUUUGUACUGUCUCAUCAUUAGGAUCCCUUACUGAAUAUUUAAAAAUUCGUUUUAAAGUGAGAUGCUUUGAUUCAAAGAAUACAGAAAUCAAACUCCUUGACUUAGAGUUACUGCUCAUUCCAUUCUUGAGGUUUCCAUAGAAGAGGGGGAUUUAGGGCCCUGUAAGUCCCCCAUCUGCUGUCCAUGUGUGCCUUUGUCCCAGUGUGAGUAGAGCACCUUAUGCAGAGAAGGAACAUCGAUGCAACUACUAAUUCUAUGUGCCAAACAAAGACUUGUUCCAUAAUGACUGAGUGUUAUGAUUGGUCCAACACUCACACUUUACAUGUGAUUAAAGGGAGAGCCAGAUAAGUUAAAUGCCAUGCCCAUCAUCACAAAGUUAGGUCACUCAGGCCCAAGAUGACUGUUUGGUCUUGAUUUCAUCAUAGUGAAUUGCUAACACCAGGUAGUAUUAUUGGGUUUAGUAUUGCACUUUUCUGUGAAUCCUAAAUAAAAGUAGAAUUUCUAUGAUGCAGGUAUUCUUAACAGUCCUAGAAUAGUUGGGUCAUCCUUCUUCUUUUUUAACGUUAGAUUGCUCAAACUCACUGAAGUGCUCUCCAGCACUCUCAGUUUUUGUUCUGAAAUGUAUAGUGUCACACACAUGACAUUCCAGGAAUUCUGCGAGAGGUGUAGGAAUCAUCUAACCACAUGUUCUUGCCUUCAAAAAGGUUUGUUUACUUCUCACCGUCUGUUCCUCUAGAAGUGACUCUUCACAGUCGUAAAUAGGCAGUAUCAUUUUGACACACUGGAGAAUUCCUUGGGUUAAAUUGUGUUGUGAUAUCAGGCUUACUAUAAAAGGAUAUUAGAUAAAAUGGUCAGAAAGGAAAAAAAAAUACUAAUCAUUGUGCCCACUGCAAGAAAGUUGUGGUUGUUAUACAUCAGAUUUCCUUUCUCUCAGGAUCACCAGGGAAAAGUUUCUCUCUGGUCCUGUGAGGGAAUAAUUAUUCUUUCCUUUGAGCAACUAGUAGGUCUGUAUGUUAUGGAUCCUGCAAACAGUGUGAAGCUCAGAGUUGUGACCUUCCUCUGUCAAGGUUCAAGGGCUUCAUGGCAUACAAUUUGCUAUUUCCUUCUUCCCUUAACUUCCUCUUAAUUCCCUAGCCCCCCCCCCCCCUUUUAAUGUCUUUUCCAUGGCAUAUGGAGGUUCUCAGGCUAGGGGUCUAAUCAGAGCUGUAGCUGCCAGCCUAUGACAAAGCCACAGCAAUGCCAGAUCUGAGCAGCAUCUGCAACCUGCACCACAGUUCAUGGCAAUGCCAAAUCCUUAACCCACUGAGCCAGGCCAGGGAUCGAACCUGCAACCACAUAGUUCCUAGUCGGAUUCAUUAACCACUGAGCCACGAUGGGAACUCCCCCCAUCCCUUUUUGCAAAUCUUCAUAGUUGUUACUUUUUGUUUCUUUUAUCUUACAGUCUGGUUUGCAUCUUUGUAACUAUUCUAAAUCUCUUUAAAUAAACUUUGACAUUCACAAAUAAUUCUCAUACAUGUUUCCCCCAUCCCAAAGUGAAUAAACAAAUACUAGAAGGAAAAAAAGUUCAAUAUUAGAUGCAUGAGCACUUAAUGCUGUCUCCAAGAUACAUCAUUUACCCUCCUCUUUGGCUGUAUUUUUGACUUAAAAUAUGUUUAGUAUAGAGGCAAUGUUCAAAUUUUAAAAAGAUUUUUAAUUGUACAUGAUUUCUGUGAUUCCAGAAUUAUACAUAAUUUGUAUGUAGAAGCAAUUCCAGAAAUACAGUAGGCAGAUGUGGACAGUGUCUGCCAGUAUGGAGAGGAAACUCUGCAUGAGGGGUAAAUAUGAUUAUGGGGGUAAUGGAUAUGAAUGCCUCUCUCUAUAGACCUUUGGUUUGGAGAUACUGAUCCUCAAUAUUGUAUACAGUGUUUAUUACUAGGAACAGUAAUCACAUUAAUGGCAGAAGCGUACUCCCAUAUUACCUUAAAAUAAUUUUUCUCAUAUUGUGAUAGAGAACUCUUUCUUAAUCAAAAAAUUCACAUUGAAUAAUAUUUAACAUUUGUGAAUAUGUGGCCUGACCUGUCACUCAUCUACACAUUUUAUGCCUAUAUAUCAUUUUUAAAAGAUGAUGCUAUCUCACUUUCUCACCAUUCAUCUGUAAUAGGUAGGAGCUCUCUUAUUUUACAGACAAGGAAGCCAAGACUCAUGGAAGUCAAGGAAACUGCCCACAAGCACAUAGCUAACAAAAGUCAGGUCUGAUUUUGAGCCCAGGCUAUACCUACUAUGUUAGUGUGUACUUUGCAAAGGUCCAAGGAGAUAGAAAAUACAUGACUUUUUAAGUGGCUUUUCUGUACAGUUUUUCUUCAAGAUUAAUUAAAGGGCUCAUGGAAUACUCAUUUCCAUUCCUAGCAUAGUCGUACAGAGAAUGAAAAUAUACUUUAAAUAAAAUACCCAUUUGGCCCUCAGAGCAACUUAAGAAUCUGAGUAUGAGAAGUUGAGCUCAGAAAGAAUGAGGAAUAGAAACCAGUGAGUGGUAGUUGGGGCCGACGUGGUCAGAUUGUUGGCUCCCUCCAUGAUUCCACACCUCUUUACCCUUGGAUGGGAAAAUGAUCUUUCUAGUUACUAAUCAAAUGGGAACAUUAGUGACCAUUAUUUGUUUUAUGAAUAAUUUAUUGUGCAUUUUAAAGAUGACCUGGAUAGUGUAUGGCACGCCACUUAAUUAUUAAGGAAAAUGUUUCCUCAUUCUGAUUCACCUGGAUCAUCCAAACCCAGUGACCCGCCCCCUGCAAUGGCAGAUCAAGCCAAAAAUCAGCAACAGCGAAAUGAGAGUGCUGUUACCCUUUGUUGCAUCUCAAACAUGCCCUCAUAGAAAAUGCUUGAAUAGGUUUCUUUCUCCUUCCUUGUUCCUGCCCAGCUACGGGGGACUGUGCCACUUCUUUCCUCCUCUCCUUAAGUCAGAUUUGAGAUAAUCUUUAAGAUUUUAGACAGCAAUUAGAAUAAUCUUUCCAGGAUUUGCUCUCAGAUAAAGCACACUACCCAGUCCUCAGAAUUCCUAUCUCCUUUGAACUGAGGCUCUUAGGAUUGCUUUCAGACAAAAAAAAGAGAAGGGGUGGAAAUCAUUUCCAUCUGUGUUCCUCAUUAGUAAUAGAACCUUUUUAUUGUAAUAAUCUCAGGGUACUUACUAUUAGUGAAUUUUAUGUAAAGUAAUACAUGAUAGAAAAAGUGAGGAGACAUGAGGGAGAGACCCUUAGACAUUGUGGGCAAGACCCUUCAUGAUCAGGAUUCUGCCUUUUUCUGCAGCCUCAUCUCUUCCCCAGCCAUGUGCACCUGGGCCUCGAAUAUCUCCCCUUGCAAGCGCCAGCCUCUUUCCCUUUUAUCUUCAUGCAUUUGUUCUUGGGGUGCCUCUCACCUGGAUUGCUGCCCAUCCCCCAUCCCUGUUUCCUCCUGUUUAAAAGCCUCGCUCUACUUCACCUUGCUAAGACUCAGAGUAGAAUUUGAAUAUUUAUGUAUACCACUCUUUCCACCAUAUCUUACUAGUUAAGACUGAAUGAGGAAUAAACUCCUAUGAGCCCCAAUGUUGCCUGUGUCCCAUUCUAUUCCAUCCCAUUCUUUCCUUAACUCUGCCAUAGCAUCUGUAGCUCUGUUUUAUGAGAAGUCUUCAUUAGUUUGCAUCCCCUUCCCAGGCUGGUCACAUACUUAAAAGCAGGGGCUGUUACUCUUUUUCUUUCUUGUGCCUUUAGUGUCUGGCAGAGACCUAAACACAAUCAGGUCACCAGUUAUGUGCUAGGCUCACCCCCAGCUUCCUAACUUCAGCACUCUUCAUUUCUCCUACAGAUCCCAUCUACAUGAAUAUUUUUUCCAGUGUGUUUUCUUGGCAGAACUAUAUAUAUUUAUACCUUAUACUUGGUAGGAUUUCUUUGGUUUAAUUAACCCCUUCAGGAAGAUAAUAUACGUUUGUGUGGAUAAUGUUUUUACUCAUUCACUCGUUGUCCCAACUAUUUGCUAGAUUUGUGAAUAUAGAGGAAAUCAGAGCUGUUUUUAAAGACUCUGUGGGACAGACAGGCAAGUUGGUAGUGGAGCAUAAGUACUGUGUUGAUGCCCCCAAAGGCUUUAUGGUUUUAAAGGAAUCUUCAGUUACCAAAAGCUUAUUCAACGGAGGUGGCUGUCUCCUUGCGGCGCCUCAGAAAAUUGGCGUGAAUGACUGACUCUGCCAUCUCUUCCCUGUCUUGUCCCAUGCUAUCAGGAGUGGUAAUAACACAGACGUGAAGGCCUUUCUUAGCACUUCAUCAUCCGAAGUUGGCUGUGUUCUUCCUUUUCUAUUAGGUGGUUUCUACGUACACUACUUUCUUAUAACCUCCUUUCCUGUAGUCAGAGGGUUGACUGGCUCUGAGAAUGAAGUUUCUGAAAUCACUACUUUUCCCACUGUGAAGAAGAUAGAAAAAGAAACAAAGGAAUAUCCUUUUGAUAUGGUGGAAAUAGGAUAUUUCUCCAUAGUGACAUAGUAACCAUGAUUUCUUUAAAAUCAGCUCCUAAAAGAGUUGAGCUACUUCCUGUGCAGAGAACAGUGGUUUCCCUGGAGUCAUCCAAUAGAUACAUGGUUAGCAAUGCUGGAGGAAAAAUCUAAUUUGCAGAUAGGAUAUUUAUCUUUAGAUAACAAAAGCCCGGAAAUGCAAUUUGUAAUUUUAAAAAGAGCUGAUAUAUAAAUAUAGGUUAAAAGAACUGAACUUUGCCAUUUUGGAGUUACUUGUGGGUGGGGAAGGAAAAAAAAAAAACACUAUGUGAAAAUGCUUUUGGAAUAACCCUAUCUCUUAGAAACGCUGGGAAGCUUUCUUUGCUUUUCAUUGUAUGGGCAUCUUGCUGCAAGCUCAUUUUGUUGUUAAACAUGAAGUUUUACAAUGUCGAUUGCACUAAGAAUUUUUUAAUGGAGCAAUUUAGAGCAGCUGCAAACUGCUCUGGAAUUCCCAGGGAUUAAUCAACAGACUUUUCUGUGAUUACAAAUCCCACAGUGAGAGGAGGUGAGGCAUGCAGGCCCUGGGAAGGUGGGGGUGGGAGCAUCAGAGCAGGAAGAGAGAGGCCAAUGGGAUGCACAGAGAUGGACAGACUGCCUGGCUGAAUACAGUGCCUGGUUUUCUCUACUCCAUUCCCUCUAUGUUUACUUACCCUGUUCUGUCAAGUGAAUUUAUCUCCUUUUCUCCGUAUUUACUCACCCCAUAGGUUCCUUGUCUACUCAUCCCAUUCCCUUCACCUGUAUGCUUCUCCCACUCCUUGCUUGGUACAAGUCCAAGACUGCUCCUACUCCACGCUGUAAGCCAGGGCUUGCCAGUAUCCCCAUAUUCCAGCUUCCUCUCAACUUGGAGAAGUAUUUAGAAUUAGAGCUAAAAAGAAUUUACUUGCUAGAUGAGAAAAUGGAAGUUAGGAGAGGUUAAAGACCAGUUCUAAGGAUAACCUGACCC